GGAACCCAGCGCACGCUCAAAUCCAGCGUCUGCUGGACUCUCUCAACGGUGGCUGAGUUCCAGCGGUCGCUGGCUUCUUGGCCGCGGCCGCUGGAACUCAGCGCUCGCUCAAAACUCCAUGGAUUUCAAUUCUCGUGGUUCUUGGCCGGAUUUCGUCGUGUGUAUUUUUUGGAUGAAAUCCAUGAAAGUCAUUCCGGAUUUGAAGUCAAUGGAAUAACGAAUACACC
rnacentral:lncRNA from 1 species